rnacentral:rRNA from 1 species
AGUGAACGCUGGCGGUAGGCCUAACACAUGCAAGUCGAACGGCAGCACAGUAAGAGCUUGCUCUUACGGGUGGCGAGUGGCGGACGGGUGAGGAAUACAUCGGAAUCUACUUUUUCGUGGGGGAUAACGUAGGGAAACUUACGCUAAUACCGCAUACGACCUACGGGUGAAAGCAGGGGAUCUUCGGACUUUGCGCGAUUGAAUGAGCCGAUGUCGGAUUAGCUAGUUGGCGGGGUAAAGGCCCACCAAGGCGACGCUCCUUAGCUGGUCUGAGAGGAUGAUCAGCCACACUGGAACUGAGAGACGGUCCAGACUCCUACGGGAGGCAGCAGUGGGGAAUAUUGGACAAUGGGCGCAAGCCUGAUCCAGCCAUACCGCGUGGGUGAAGAAGGCCUUCGGGUUGUAAAGCCCUUUUGUUGGGAAAGAAAAGCAGCAGGUUAAUACCCCGCUGUUCUGACGGUACCCAAAGAAUAAGCACCGGCUAACUUCGUG